rnacentral:lncRNA from 1 species
UCUCGGCUCGGUGUCGUUCACGCCGCGGGCUGGACGGCUCUGCGGAACCGCCCGUAGUUGCGGUUAUCCGUCAGAUCGAACGGGUUAACCGCGUUCUCUUCCCAGUUCGCGUCGCGGCGGAACCGCCCGUAGUUGUUGUUGUCCGCAAGGUCGAACGGGUUGAACGCCUUCUCUUCCCAGUUGGCGUCGCGGCGGAAUCGACCGAAGUUGUUGUUGUCCGCGAGCGAAAACGGGUUCUUCCAGUCGAAACCCGACACGGGGGCCAUGUCUUCGGCGGCGGCGACGUCGGUCUCUUUCGCGCCGCGGCGGAACCGUCCGUAGUUGUUGUUGUUCUCGAGGUCGAACGGGUUGAACGCCUUCUCUUCCCAGUCCGCGUCGCGGCGGAACCGUCCGAAGUUGUUGUUGUCCGCGAGCGAGAACGGGUUCUUCAGAACGAAACCCGACACGGGGGCCAUGUCUUUGGCGGCGGUUUGCGGCUUCUCGCGGCGGAACCGCCCGACGUUCGCCUUCUGCGUCACCUGCCUCAGCGCCGCCGGGUCGCCUUUAACGAACCCGUCGUGCGAAAACUCGAGGCGCGCGUCGUCGUCGUUGCCGAGCUUGUGGAACCCGUAAUUGUUCAGCUCACGCUUGAAUCCGUUGAUGUUGACGCGCGCGGGGAACACCGGGAGGACGCCGACGAGCUUCUUCUCGAACGCUUUCGCGUCCUUGACGACGAAGGAUUUGCCGUCUUUGUUCCAGGAGACGACGUCGGACGCGGACGGGUCGCUCACGAGCGUGUGAAGCUUCCUGCGACGGCGACGGAAAGAUGUUUCGGAGGGUGAGAAAAAAAAAACACGUGGUCGUCGACGUGCCUGUCGACGUCAACGGGUUGCCUAGGCGCCAGAGACGCCGCGGACGCGCGCGUUCGCGACGGAUAUCGUCGCCGAGCGCGUCGAGUCGCGAGCGGCGCGCGCGAUUCGACGAACGCCGCGUCGCGCGCGACGCGCGCGACGCGCGCGCGAGGCGUCGCGCGCGCCGAAAGUCGCGUCCGACUGCCGACGGCGCCGAGCGACGCGUCUACGUCAUCGGCCCGGUUGCCCAGGUGCCAAAGACGCCGCGGAGGCGCGAGUUCGCGACGGAUAUCGUCGCCGCGCGCGUCCCAUCGCGAGCGACGCGCGCGAUUCGACGAACGCCGCGCCGCGAGCGACGCGAGCGACGCGCGCGCGCGGCGUCGCGCGCGCAGAAAGUCGCGCGCGAUCGCGAAAGACGCGACGUUUCGACGGCACGGGCCGGGCACGUAAGUUAGUGCGGGGAGAAUCGAGGAUCGAGGGGGAGCGCGCACAUUAUGAACGGCGACACCUUGACGCGAUCGAACGCGUAAGGGUUGCACGAAGGGCGGCGAGCGUGAAGGUGCGUGGGGGCCAUCGUUUGUGGAGUGUCGUGUGCGUGCGUGAGGUGGUCGGGCGUGCUGUAGUGCGCGAUGGGUGCGUGUGUUUUCAGGACUUAAACGUCCCGCGAAAAUUGAAACGCCGAGACUUCGCGCCAAGUUUACGAAAGGGCACGGUGCUGAAAGGUGCCCACGAACCGUCGCGAAAAAAUCGUAUGCGCGUCAGUCUGAAAUUAAUACGUGCCUUCGCCGUUCGCGUGCCUCCCACGAAUUCAAGGCGCCGUCCACGGUGGCAAGCACGCCGUGCCGUUACUCUCCCGACGACACUUAUCCGCGCGCGCGUGCCCGCACAGACACGCACACGCACACACUCCGCGAUGGCCGUCUUCCUCGCCGCUCCCGCGUCGCGCGCGUGCGCGACGCGACGAGUCCUCGCGCGAAGCGCGUCCGCGACGGCGACGCGCGCGCGCGCGGCGCCGCGCGUCGCCGCGCGUCGCGAAGUGAGAUCGUCGUCGUCCGCGAGCGCGCGCGGCACCGCAGAUCUUCUCGGGUUCGGGUUCGCGCGCGCGGCGUCCGCCGGACGCGUCGCGCGCUCGUCCGCCGCGGAGACCUCCGGCGACGCGGAGACCUCCGGCGUCGUCCUCCUCGACCCUCCUCCCGCGCCCGCGCCCGUGCCCGCGCCCGCGGCGGCGCCGGCGGCGACGACGACGACGCCGCCCGUCGACGCGUCGCAAACGUCGCUUCGACGCGUCGCGCGACACGUCCACCGCGAGGCGGAGUACGUCUUCGUUCGAUUCUCGCUCCUCGCGACCGGCGCGUUCGUCCUCAUCGGCGUCUGCGCGUCGCUCGCGCUGUCCGCGCUGCUGUUCAGCAUGGGCGUCAAGGAGGUGCUCUACGAAGCCGUGGGCGCGUGGAUGCAAUUCUCGCCGGUGGGGCUCGGUGCGUUCUAUCUCACACUGGUUCCCAUACGACCGCGUCGGCGUGGUGAACGCCGUUCCUUAAGGACUUUUCCCGGCGUCUCUCUCCGCCCAGGGUCCCUCGCUUUCAAUACCCGACCGCGACGCCUUUCAACUAUUACUGACGCCUUUCAACUCCACCCCGACGUCGCGAGAAUAGUCACCGCCGCCGUCGGCGCGCUCGACCGCUUCCUCCUCGGCAUGGUCUGCCUCGUCUUCGGCCUCGGAAGCUUCGAGCUGUUCUUAGCGCGAAGCUCGAGGAAGGAAGAGCAGCAGCUCGCGAAGCGCGUGAACAAGCCGCUGUGGCUGAGAGUGCGGAGCAUAGACGACUUGGAGCACAAGGUUGGCGAGAUCAUCGUCGCGGUGAUGGUCGUCAACCUGCUCGAGAUGUCGCUGCACAUGACGUACUCCAAGCCCGUGGAUUUGGUGUGGGCCGCGCUCGCGGCGUUGGCGUCCGCGGGCGCGCUCGCGCUCCUGCACUGGAGCUCGGAGAAUCACUGCGGGAAGGACGACGACGCGCCCUGCGCGGUGCACUGAGUCGUCCUCUCGCCGCCGUUUGUAGACGCGUGCGCGCGUUCGUUUGUAAUUUCAAUUUUCAAGUCUACCGAAAAAACCGUUUUGCGUUUGCUGCUAUUUUAGGCUACUACUCCUCGUGAGCACCUCACGCGUCCGCGGCGAGGAGGUGCGGUCUGGCGCACUUCAACACGAUGACACGCCCUGCGCGGUGCACUGAGUCGUCCUCUCGCCGCGAGAGCAUCGAAUCGUAUGCGGCGGCGGCGGCUACGCGCUCCUGUUACGAAAGUACUCCUGAAUGUGCUCGCGGACCAGCGCGGCCGCGGCGGCGACUUGCUCGGGGGCGCCCUCGAUGACGCAGACGCCCUGCGAGUCGUUCAACACGCGAAUGGACGCGCCCGUGCGCUCGCGCAACGAGCGGAUGUUGUUACCGCCCUUUCCGAUGAGCCGCGACUCCGCGCCGGCACACGGGAUGGUCUCCCUCGCGACGCCGACGACGGAGCCGGCGGCCGCGCGGUCCGCCCCAGGCGGGGCGCCCAUCACCGCGACCUGCGAGAUGAUCUCGCGAAUGGCAGCGGCGGCGCCCUGCGCGCCGGGUCCGAUGACCUCCGUGACGCCGUGCCCGCGCUUGAGUUGGAUGCACACGCCGAACCUAUCCUGCAAGUCGCGGAUCGUCCCGCCGCCGUGGCCGAUGAUCAUUCCCUCGUGCCCCGCGGUGCCCUCGACGAUGACGACGUCGUUCGCCCCGCCGCCCGCGGCGGCGGCGGAUUGCGCCGCCGCCGCCGCGGGUUCCGCGCCCGCCGGCGCGCCGCGCGCCGGCUGCUUCGCCGGGCGCUCGUCUUCACCUGGUCCCGCGUUCCCGCGCUCUCCCUCUUCCGCGUACGCCGUGUACUUCGCCGCGCUGCCGCGGCACCGAUCCGCGGGGUACUUGGCCGCGUUCUUCGCCAUCUUCGCGCGCGUCGCCGCCGCGAGGUCGACGCCGCACCGAUCCGCGAGGCGCACCAAGUACAGCUGCACGUCCGCGAGCUCGUCCUCGAGCCGCGCUCUGUCCUCGCGCGACCAGCUCGGCAGCCCCGUCGCGCAGUCGUCGUCGCCGCGCCACUGGAACAGCUCCGACACCUCGCCGACCUCGCCGACCAUGGCGAGGAGGACGUUGCGAGGCGAGUGGAACUGAUCCCAGUCGCGCGCGCGCGCGAACGACGCCUGUUCGCGCCUCAGAUCCUCCAGCGUGACGCGCGCGUCGAAGCCGCCGAACGCGGGAGGCGACGGUCGCGCGGCGGCGUCGGCGUCGGCGUCGGCGUCGAACCGCGCGCUGAGCGUCGCGUCGCUUCGGGAUUCGGAGAGCGUCGUCGUCUUGGAACGCAGUUCGAUCGGUUUGUUUCGGCUCUUGUUCACGCGGAUCGGCGGAGGGACGUGCGGCGCGGGAUCGUCGACGUUCCUCGGCGCGUCCGCGUGGCCGUUGCUCCUGACGUCGAAUAUCAUCUUCAUGUGUUUCACGCCGGCGGCGAGGAGGAUGUCGGGGCAUUCCUUCGCGAGAGCGUCCACUUUGCUUCCGGCGCCGUACCAGUCGUGGAGGGUAAGCUUCGACUCGGGGUGCGUUCGGUACAACUCGGAGAUCACGAGGCUCGCGAGCGUGCCGCACGAGCCGGUCAUGUCCGCGAUGGCGUUCGCGUAAUACCGCGGAUCAAUAUAUCGCGGAGGAAUAUUCUCGUACCCUUUAGCCAUCGUGGCUCACCUCUCUCGCGCGCGGGAGUGUUCGCCCGUGCCUCAGAUCUGGAAAAGCGGGUGCCAAAAAAUACUGUAUUUUUAGUAACAGGCUCGCGCCGCGCGUGCGCCACCGUCCUCCUAUCGCAUCGUCCAUCCAC